GAUGAACGCUGGCGGCGUGCCUAACACAUGCAAGUCGAACGAAGCACUUCGAUUUCUUCGGAAUGAAAAAGUGACUGAGUGGCGGACGGGUGAGUAACGCGUGGGUAACCUGCCUCAUACAGGGGGAUAACAGUUAGAAAUGACUGCUAAUACCGCAUAAGCGCACAGGAUCGCAUGAUACAGUGUGAAAAACUCCGGUGGUAUGAGAUGGACCCGCGUCUGAUUAGCUAGUUGGUGAGGUAAUGGCUCACCAAGGCGACGAUCAGUAGCCGGCCUGAGAGGGUGAUCGGCCACAUUGGGACUGAGACACGGCCCAAACUCCUACGGGAGGCAGCAGUGGGGAAUAUUGCACAAUGGGGGAAACCCUGAUGCAGCAACGCCGCGUGAAGGAUGACGUAUUUCGGUAUGUAAACUUCUAUCAGCUAGGAAGAUGAUGACGGUACUUGACUAAGAAGCCCCGGUUAACUACGUGCCAGCCGCCGCGGUAACAC
rnacentral:rRNA from 1 species